rnacentral:lncRNA from 1 species
UUAAAUUAGAAUUUCUAUUGGCAUUGAUGAACCCGUUUAGGAAAUGAAAAUGUUGCUUUCAUACUUGAGUUGAAUUUGAUAAUCUGAUUUUGCUUUGUCCAUAGAUGUUAUAAUUUCACAUAGAAACAUGUUGUUGUGCUAAGCAUUCCUGCAUUUAUUCAUUUACUUGUGUGAAUGGGAUGUGUAGGACAUUGCACAAGAAGCUGUGAAGAAGAGAAGACGCGCUGCCAAGAAGCCUUACUCUAGGUCCAUUGUCGGUGCCACUCUGGAAGUUAUCCAGAAGAAGAGGACUGAGAAGCCAGAAGUUAGAGACGCAGCCAGGGAAGCUGCCCUUCGGUGUGUAUUUUGUUAAUUCCUGUCUAACAUUGGAUUUGCGCUCUUAUUUAUUGUAGAUGUGUGCAUAUUCAGUCACAUUCUCAGUUAUUUAUUUUCUGAUCAAUUACUAUAAUUACUCUUUACUCAAUGUCUCACUUUAGAGGAGCUAAAAUCUUUUUAUUUUAAUCAAUUGAAACCGUAAAUUUUCAGAGACUAACUUUCAACAUCUCUUUUGCUUUCCAAUAUGAAUUACACAUUUAUCUGAAUCUUGGAUGUUGUGGUACAGUGAAAUUAAGGAGAGAAUCAAGAAAACAAAGGAUGAGAAGAAGGCUAAGAAAGCCGAAGUUGCAGCUAAGUCACAAAAAGGAGGGAAAGGCAAUGUUUCCAAGGGUGCUAUGCCUAAAGGUCCUAAAC